GACGAACGCUGGCGGCGUGCUUAACACAUGCAAGUCGAACGGAAAGGCCCUGCUUGCAGGGUACUCGAGUGGCGAACGGGUGAGUAACACGUGGGUGAUCUGCCCUGCACUUCGGGAUAAGCCUGGGAAACUGGGUCUAAUACCGGAUAGGAGCCAUUUUUAGUGUGAUGGUUGGAAAGUUUUUUCGGUGUAGGAUGAGCUCGCGGCCUAUCAGCUUGUUGGUGGGGUAAUGGCCUACCAAGGCGGCGACGGGUAGCCGGCCUGAGAGGGUGGACGGCCACAUUGGGACUGAGAUACGGCCCAGACUCCUAAGGGAGGCAGCAGUGGGGAAUAUUGCACAAUGGGCGCAAGCCUGAUGCAGCGACGCCGCGUGGGGGAUGACGGACUUCGGGUUGUAAACUCCUUUCGCUAGGGACGAAGCUUUUUGUGACGGUACCUAGAUAAGAAGCACCGGCUAACUACGUG
rnacentral:rRNA from 1 species